AAGUGUGGGUAAAGAAAUAACGUAAGAAAACAAUUUAUUUAAUAAUACUUAUUACUUAGAUAAUUUUUAAACAGAAUCUUCUAACAAUUUGUAAUUCUUAAACGUUUUAACGUAAUAUGUGAAAAUAAGCUUCCGGUUAUACGACGUCAUUAGGGGCUUCCGCUUCCGGUUGUACGACGUCAUUAGGGAGCUUCCGCUUCCGGUAAAGCAGAACAAUUUAAACGAAGAUUGAAAAGAAGAGCCAUGCAUGCAUACAUUCAACACGGAUCAUGGUGGGUGUCAGAGCGGUCUCUCCUGUCCUUUAGGGAUCCCUCACAGUGAAGCAUGAUGAUCAGAGUACAGCUGGACUGUGGAAGUCUGUCUUUCUCCUACCCAGUCAACAGAAAACAUCUCCACAAGUUCACACAUCUAUGGAGACGUUUUCACCUACUUCUGUAAUCUGGAUGAAGACACACACCACCCUCUGAAACUGCUACCAGAAUAUAUGUCUGUACGUGUGGAAACUUGUUUCUUUUUCAACAGUUACCUUCAGAAUUGACUUCAGGUUACUUUUUUGCGUGCAUUUUCUGAGGGCUUCUGAAAUUGUAAUUAUAUAUGCAAAACCUGUGCAGCCACAUACUGUAGUUUUAUGUUCCUCAGCUGUUAAUCCAGAUCAGAACGGUUUCUGUUCAGAUUGAUGUUUGCUAAUUUCCCUUGAGCCUUUUGCAUUGUGUUUCUGCUUAACAUAAGUUUGAGAUUUAACAAACAAGAGGCAGGGUCUAUAAAUCUGCAUAUAAACUCCAUUUGUUUCAGAGGUCAGGCUCUGUUGGGCGAUUAGGCCUAGCUUGCCGCCAGCACUCUAAUUCAUACAAAGGUGUUCAACGAGGGUUACGGUAAGGGCUCUGCAGGCCAGUUAAGUUCUUCCACACCGAUCUUGACAAACCAUUUCUCUAUGGGGCGGCAGGGUAGCCUAGUGGUUAGAGCGCUGGACUAGUAACCGAAAGGUUACUAGUCCAAAUCUGUUCUGCCCCUGAACAGGCAGUUAAGCCACUGUUCCUGUGGGAACCACAGAAUCGUCUAGAAUGUCAACCAUUGUAUGCAGUAGAGGUAAGAUUUCCCUUCUAGAACUAAGGGGUCUAGCCCAAACAUGUAAAACAACCCCAAACCAUUCCUCCUCCACCAAACUUUACAGUUGGCAUUGGGGCUUGUGGUGUUUUCCUGGCAUCUGCCAAAUGCAGAUUUGUCUGUUGGACUGACAUGGUGAUUCCCCUGCUCCAGAGUCCAAUGGUGGCGAGCUUUACACCACUCCAGCUGAGUUUGGCAUUGCGCAUGGUGAUUUUAGGCUUAUGUGUGGCUGCUCGUCCAUGGAAACCCAUUUCAUGAAGCUCCCGUUGAACAGUUCUUCUGCAGAUGUUGCGUCUAGAGGCAGUUUGGUAGUGAGUGUUGCAACCGAAGACAGACUAUAUAAUUUUACGCGCUUGAGCUGUUGUGCCUAGACAUUUCCACUUUACAAUAACAGCACUUACAGUUGACUGGGGCAGCUCUUGCAUGAACUGACUUGUUGGAUAGGUGGCAUUCUAUGACGGUGCCAUGUUGAAAGUAACAGCUCUUCAGUGAGGCUUUUCCUCUGGCUAAGGAGUUUUAAAAA